rnacentral:rRNA from 1 species
AGUGAACGCUGGCGGUAGGCCUAACACAUGCGAGUCGAACGGCAGCACAGUAAGAGCUUGCUCUUACGGGUGGCGAGUGGCGGACGGGUGAGGAAUACAUCGGAAUCUACUUUUUCGUGGGGGAUAACGUAGGGAAACUUACGCCAAUACCGCAUACGACCUACGGGUGAAAGCAGGGGAUCUUCGGACCUUGCGCGAUUGAAUGAGCCGAUGUCGGAUUAGCUAGUUGGCGGGGUCAAGGCCCACCAAGGCGACGAUCCGUAGCUGGUCUGAGAGGAUGAUCAGCCACACUGGAACUGAGACACGGUACAGACUCCUACGGGAGGCAGCAGUGGGGAAUAUUGGACAAUGGGCGCAAGCCUGAUCCAGCCAUACCGCGUGGGUGAAGAAGGCCUUCGGGUUGUAAAGCCCUUUUGUUGGGAAAGAAAAGCAGCAGGUUAAUACCCCGCUGUUCUGACGGUACCCAAAGAAUAAGCACCGGCUAACUUCGUG